UGUCUCUCAGCCAUGGGGCUGCUUGGAUGUUUUCCUUCCACAGCCAGGGCAAGGGACCAAAAGCAUCAUGGGAGGACUCUCGUCGGGGCUGCCUGUAGUAGAGGUUGCCACGUUUUCCUGCCUCAGACACUU
rnacentral:snoRNA from 1 species